GACGAGGGAUCCUAGCGUUGCUCGGAAUCAUUGGGCGUAAAGCGGGUGUAGGUGGCUUGGUAAGUCAGAUGUGAAAGCCCUGGGCUUAACCCAGGAAGUGCAUUUGAUACUGCUGAGCUUGAGUGCGAGAGAGGUUAAUAGAAUACCUGGUGUAGUGGUGAAAUACGUAGAUAUCAGGUGGAACACCGGAGGCGAAGGCGGUUAACUGGCUCGACACUGACACUGAGACCCGAAAGUGCGGGGAUCAAACAGG
rnacentral:rRNA from 1 species